rnacentral:rRNA from 1 species
CCCUUAGACGUCCUGGGCCGCACGCGCGCUACACUGAUGCAUUCAACGAGUUUUACCUUGGCCGAGAGGCCUGGGCAAUCUUUUAAACCUGCAUCGUGAUAGGGAUAGAUUAUUGCAAUUAUUAAUCUUGAACGAGGAAUUCCUAGUAAACGCAAAUCAUCAAUUUGCAUUGAUUACGUCCCUGCCCUUUGUACACACCGCCCGUCGCACCUACCGAUUGAAUGGUCCGGUGAAGCCUCGGGAUUGUGGCCAGUUCACUUUAUUGGGAGUUGGCUGUGAGAACUUGUCUAAACCUUAUCAUUUAGAGGAAGGUGAGGUCGUAACA